UCGCUCUUCAACGAGGAAUCCCUAGUAAGCGUGAGUCAUCAGCUCACGUUGAUUACGUCCCUGCCCUUUGUACACACCGCCCGUCGCUACUACCGAUUGAAUGGCUUAGUGAGACCCUCGGAUCGACUCGUAGAAACCUUCACGGGUAUCUAUUUGUUGAAAAGUUGGUCAAACUUGGUCAUUUAGAGGAAGUAAAAGUCGUAACAAGGUUUCCGUAGGUGAACCUGCGGAAGGAUCAUUAAAAAAUUGAGGUAUUAGUACCUUUUUUUGUAUUUAAAACCUUACUCUAUAAAACCUAAAAAUUUUCAUAUAAAAUAAAAAACUUUCAACAAUGGAUCUCUUGGUUCUCGCAUCGAUGAAGAACGCAGCGAAAUGCGAUAAGUAAUAUGAAUUGCAGAAUUCCGUGAAUCAUCAAAUUUUUGAACGCAAAUUGCACUCUUUGGUAUUCCGAAGAGUACACCUGCUUGAGGGUCAGUUAAAAUAAAUCGUACAUCUUUGAUGUUAUGGAUCUGGGUUAUCCGAUUCUUAAGGUCGGUUACCUAAAAUUAAAUUUUAUGUAAUGUGUGAAGCGUACUAAUUUAAGUCCGUUAACCAUUUAUUACACUUAUUACGUUAUCUUUAAAGUAUUUAAUGAUAGUGUAUAAAAUUAAGAGAAUGACCUCAAGUCAUGUGAGAGUACCCGCUGAACUUAAGCAUAUCAAUAAGCGGGAGGAAAAGAAACUAACAAGGAUUCCCCUAGUAACGGCGAGUGAAGCGGGAAGAGCACAAAUUUUAAAUCUACCUGGUUUCCAGGUCGAGUUGUAAUUUGAAGAAACGUUUUUUACGUUCCGGGUUGGAUUAAUCCUUUGGGAUAAGUAUCAUGGAAGGGUG
rnacentral:rRNA from 1 species